UACGUAGGGUGCGAGCGUUAAUCGGAAUUACUGGGCGUAAAGCGUGCGCAGGCGGUUGUGCAAGACAGAUGUGAAAUCCCCGGGCUUAACCUGGGAAUUGCAUUUGUGACUGCACGGCUAGAGUGUGUCAGAGGGGGGUAGAAUUCCACGUGUAGCAGUGAAAUGCGUAGAUAUGUGGAGGAAUACCGAUGGCGAAGGCAGCCCCCCUGGGAUAACACUGACGCUCAUGCACGAAAGCGUGGGGAGCAAACAGG
rnacentral:rRNA from 1 species